rnacentral:rRNA from 1 species
CUACGGGGGGCUGCAGUGAGGAAUUUUGCGCAAUGGGGGGAACCCUGACGCAGCAACGCCGCGUGAGUGAAGAAGGCCUUUGGGUCGUAAAGCUCUGUCAACUGGGAAGAAAUUAGAGUUGUUUAACAGAUGAUUCUAUUGACGGUACCAGUGGAGGAAGCGCCGGCUAACUCCGUGCCAGCAGCCGCGGUAACACGGGGGGCGCAAGCGUUAUUCAGAAUUAUUGGGCGUAAAGGGCGCGCAGGCGGUCUUGUCGGUCAGGUGUGAAAGCCCGGGGCUCAACCCUGGAAGUGCACUUGAAACAGCAAGACUUGAGUACGGGAGAGGAAAGCGGAAUUCCUGGUGUAGAGGUGAAAUUCGUAGAUAUCAGGAGGAACACCGAUGGCGAAGGCAGCUUUCUGGACCGAUACUGACGCUGAGGCGCGAAGGCGUGGGUAGCGAACGGGAUUAGAUACCCCAGUAGUC